CCCUGGGCUAACUACUGCCAAUCCUCCUCUUUUUGCUGAGGAAGACUGGCCCUGAGCUAACAUCCAUGCCCAUCUUCCUCUACUUUAUAUGUGGGACGCCUACCACAGCACGGCUUGACAAGCAGUGCCGUGUCCACACCCGGGAUCUGAACUGGCGAACCCCGGGCCUCUGAGGCAGAACGUGCAAACUUAACUGCUGUGCCACCGGGCAGGCCCUGCACAAGGGCGGCUUUUUCAGACAGGAAGUACAUAGGUGGGUGACGCCACAGGAACAAACAUCCCCAAACCCGGAAAGCGUCCAAUCACAAAGGUGUGUUUCUUGCUCCUGUCGGCCCAGCUGCAGGUUGGCUGGUGCUCGCGCUGUGCGUUCUUUAUUGGGAGAUUGAAGCGGCAGAACCAGCUGUAUUCACGGAAGGCAGAAAAGAAGCGUGGGGCGCCCUGGCUGUGCAGACGUCGGCUAGCCCGCGGCCCACAGCCUCCAACCCACAGAACAGGUCAGGGGGCCAACCUGCCAUGGACGGGAUGUGUCCUGAAAACCAUGUGGCAGCGGGAGGAGGCACAUGCAGUUCUCUCAGGAAAGGGUGUGAAUACUUCAGGAACAGUAAUACAAUCUACCACAAGAGGCAAAAAGACUGGGAAAACAUGGAUGUUAACAGCCACGAAAUCUGGGGAGGAAACACAGAUUCUCUUUCUCAGUGAAGUGAAUUCAACGGUGACCAUGAGUCCUAAAGGCCAGGGGUACGGCGACAGCGACUUGGCAGUGGCAGGGCCACCAUCUUCCGUGUGGUCAUGGACGGAGAAGCUGAGGGAGGCGCGCCCGAUGAGGGGUGGGGGCAGACGGGCCUGUAGCCAGGCUCCUGACUGCUGCCUGCUCCUGACUCUUGGCUGUGGAUUUCUGAAAAUUGUC
rnacentral:lncRNA from 1 species